rnacentral:rRNA from 1 species
UUGAUCAUGGCUCAGGACGAACGCUGGCGGCGUGCUUAACACAUGCAAGUCGAGCGGAAAGGCCCUUCGGGGUACUCGAGCGGCGAACGGGUGAGUAACACGUGAGCAACCUGCCUCUGACUUUGGGAUAACCCUCGGAAACGGGGGCUAAUACCGGAUAUUACCCUGUAGGGCAUCUUGUGGGGUGGAAAGCUUUUGCGGUCAGGGAUGGGCUCGCGGCCUAUCAGCUUGUUGGUGGGGUGAUGGCCUACCAAGGCGGUGACGGGUAGCCGGCCUGAGAGGGCGACCGGCCACACUGGGACUGAGACACGGCCCAGACUCCUACGGGAGGCAGCAGUGGGGAAUAUUGCACAAUGGGCGGAAGCAUGAUGCAGAGUCCCCGCGUGAGGCAUGAAGUCCU